rnacentral:rRNA from 1 species
GAUGAACGCUGGCGGCGUGCCUAAUACAUGCAAGUCGAGCGAAUGGAUUAAGAGCUUGCUCUUAUGAAGUUAGCGGCGGACGGGUGAGUAACACGUGGGUAACCUGCCCAUAAGACUGGGAUAACUCCGGGAAACCGGGGCUAAUACCGGAUAACAUUUUGAACCGCAUGGUUCGAAAUUGAAAGGCGGCUUCGGCUGUCACUUAUGGAUGGACCCGCGUCGCAUUAGCUAGUUGGGGAGGUAACGGCUCACCAAGGCAACGAUGCGUAGCCGACCUGAGAGGGUGAUCGGCCACACGGGGACUGGGACACGGCCCAGACUCCUACGGGAGGCAGCAGUAGGGAAUCUUCCGCAAUGGACGAAAGUCUGACGGAGCAACGCCGCGUGAGUGAUGAAGGCUUUCGGGUCGUAAAACUCUGUUGUUAGGGAAGAACAAGUGCUAGUUGAAUAAGCUGGCACCUUGACGGUACCUAACCAGAAAGCCACGGCUAACUACGUGCCAGCAGCCGCCGUAA